UACGAAGGGUGCAAGCGUUGCUCGGAAUUACUGGGCGUAAAGCGUGCGUAGGUGGUUUGUUAAGUCUGAUGUGAAAGCCCUGGGCUCAACCUGGGAAUUGCAUUGGAAACUGGCAGGCUAGAGUACGGUGGAGGGUAGUGGAAUUCCUGGUGUAGCAGUGAAAUGCGUAGAGAUUAGGAGGAACAUCCGUGGCGAAGGCGACUACCUGGACCAGUACUGACACUGAGGCACGAAAGCGUGGGGAGCAAAC
rnacentral:rRNA from 1 species